CAAUAAGCGGAGGAAAAGAAACCAACAGGGAUUGCCCUAGUAACGGCGAGUGAAGCGGCAACAGCUCAAAUUUGAAAUCUGGUCUUCGGGCCCGAGUUGUAAUUUGUAGAGGAAGCUUUUGGCGCGGUACCUUCUGAGUCCCCUGGAACGGGGCGCCAUAGAGGGUGAGAGCCCCGUAUAGUUGGAUACCAAGCCUGUGUAAAGCUCCUUCGACGAGUCGAGUAGUUUGGGAAUGCUGCUCAAAAUGGGAGGUAAAUUUCUUCUAAAGCUAAAUACCGGCCAGAGACCGAUAGCGCACAAGUAGAGUGAUCGAAAGAUGAAAAGCACUUUGAAAAGAGGGUUAAAUAGCACGUGAAAUUGUUGAAAGGGAAGCGCUUGUGACCAGACUUGCGCCGGGCUGAUCAUCCGGUGUUCUCACCGGUGCACUCUGCCCGGCUCAGGCCAGCAUCGGUUCUCGCGGGGGGACAAAGGUCCUGGGAACGUAGCUCCUCCGGGAGUGUUAUAGCCCAGGGCGUAAUGCCCCCGCGGGGACCGAGGUUCGCGCUCUGCAAGGAUGCUGGCGUAAUGG
rnacentral:rRNA from 1 species